GACCCUUUAAAGCCUAGUCAUUAAGUGGUUAAGAUCAGUUAGUUCAAUUUACUUGUGGAACGCUACAUUUUCCAUUUUCUGCUGGAAGCCUUCCUUUGUGGCUCCUAUUAGGAAUGGAUAUGGAAGACAAAAUCCAGGACAUGGUGGCUCUGUCUCUACAGUAUUUCUGGUAUUUGGUAGUGCAACCCAGACUACAAGAUGCUUCAUACUAAACAAGAAGAAUCACUUCAACUAUUCCAGUAAUCUGGCAAUUAACGUACAUCUACGUUGUCCUCAGUUAUCUAACUUCUGGGUGGGAGGGCCAGAGGAUCUAGGUUUUUCGGGCCUCCAAAACUGAUGUUUCUGGUUUUGAUGUUUGCAAGGGCUAAUGCUGAGAGACAGAGAAUUGCGAAUAUGUCAGAACAUCAGAAAAUAAAGAUGUCAUUCAAGUUCCAUGAAGAAUUUUUGAAUCAGAAGGAAUUUUACUGUAUAUGGAAAGAGGAUAUAGUGAUACUCAUUGCUAUUUAAUCUUUAUAUAUUUUUUGAUAAAAUAAAAACUUCAGAUCUUGAUCCAUGGGCCAUUACUGCUUUUAUUAUCUACGAAAGUUCCUUGAGCUUUCAGUAAUGUAGACAUCACACCAUUCUAUUAGAAUUGAUGACAAUAACAGCACAACAUGCCAUCAAAAUGACAAACCACAAUGGAACCCCAAUGACGUCCAUAAUAAUUCAUAGAUGCCCAUUGAGCCUUGUGGUACAACAGAUCCAGCACAGCAUCCGUUAUGACUCCAAUGAGAGUCAAAAUAUAUACGUUUUACUAAAAAAAUUGCUACGUAUAUUUUUCUCAUGCACAAUGGAAACUUAAAUAGCAUAUAAAUCCUCUAGUGGUUAACUAGUGUAAAGUUUGAAAAAGUAAGGAAAGAGUACAAAGGCACAAAUCCUAAUGAGAAGCUUUUGGGUACCAAAGAAGAAACCUGCCAGUAUCUACAUGUUCAAGGGUGAUUGGUAUUAACUUUUUUGUACAACUGAAUAAUAAACCUGUUUUACUGUCGCUGGAGACUUAGCCUUGGACUUAAUGGUAAAUUCUUCAGUAUGCUACAAUGGUGCCCAUCUUCAACACCCGCCUUGAGGUGGGCUUAAGCUCCAGUGAAUGUGACACUGCUGAAAGUGCCUUGCGUCAUGCGACUGUGUAUCUGCCUGCAUCCAGGAUUCUGGUGCCAAGUGAAAAUGUCCUCACUGCUGGUUGAAACUGUGCUCUUCGCUUCUGCUGUUUUUUGCUUAUUUUUUUUCCAGGAGAGUAUAAAAGUAUAUAAAGUAUAUGAAGAUUACCAGUGUACUGUAAUCCACGUAUAAGCAUAAAAAAAAAGGAUUCAAACGUC